GUGGGGAAUAUUGGACAAUGGGCGAAAGCCUGAUCCAGCCAUGCCGCGUGUGUGAAGAAGGUCUUCGGAUUGUAAAGCACUUUAAGUUGGGAGGAAGGGCAGUAAGUUAAUACCUUGCUGUUUUGACGUUACCGACAGAAUAAGCACCGGCUAACUUCGUGCCAGCAGCCGCGGUAAUACGAAGGGUGCAAGCGUUAAUCGGAAUUACUGGGCGUAAAGCGCGCGUAGGUGGUUUUGUAAGUUGGAGGUGAAAUCCCCGGGCUCAACCUGGGAACUGCCUCCAAAACUGCAUGACUAGAGUACGGUAGAGGGUAGUGGAAUUUCCUGUGUAGCGGUGAAAUGCGUAGAUAUAGGAAGGAACACCAGUGGCGAAGGCGACUACCUGGACUGAUACUGACACUGAGGUGCGAAAGCGUGGGGAGCAAACAGGAUUAGAUACCCUGUAGUCC
rnacentral:rRNA from 1 species